GAUGAACGCUGGCGGCGUGCCUAAUACAUGCAAGUCGAGCGAAGCGGGGACGGGUGAGUAACACGUGGAUAACAUCCUAUAUGACUGGGAUCACCUCGGGAAACCGGAGCCAAACCGGAUACUUUUCGAUGGAUCCGCGCUGCAUUAGCUAGUUGGUAAGGUAACGGCUAACAAAGGCAACGAUGCAUCGCCGACCUGAGAGGGUGACCGGCCACACUGGAACUGAGACACGGUCCAGACUCCGACGGGAGGCAGCAGUGGGGAAUCUUCCGCAAUGGGCGAAAGCCUGACGGAGCAACGCCGCGUGAGUGAUGAAGGCCUUCGGAUCGUAAAACUCUGUCAUUAGGGAAGCGGUACCUAAUCAGAAAGCCACGGCUAACUACGUGCCAGCAGCCGCGGUAAUUC
rnacentral:rRNA from 1 species